UUUCUAAUUUCCUUAUAACUCCUA
rnacentral:snRNA from 1 species